rnacentral:tRNA from 1 species
GGAAGUGUGUCCGAGUGGUCGAAGGAGGCAGUUUUGAAAACUGUUGACGGUUUGCGCCGUCCGGGGGUUCGAAUCCCUCCACUUCCGCCA